rnacentral:rRNA from 1 species
GAUGAACGCUGGCGGCGUGCCUAAUACAUGCAAGUCGAGCGAACAGACGAGGAGCUUGCUCCUCUGACGUUAGCGGCGGACGGGUGAGUAACACGUGGAUAACCUACCUAUAAGACUGGGAUAACUUCGGGAAACCGGAGCUAAUACCGGAUAAUAUAUUGAACCGCAUGGUUCAAUAGUGAAAGACGGUUUUGCUGUCACUUAUAGAUGGAUCCGCGCCGCAUUAGCUAGUUGGUAAGGUAACGGCUUACCAAGGCGACGAUGCGUAGCCGACCUGAGAGGGUGAUCGGCCACACUGGAACUGAGACACGGUCCAGACUCCUACGGGAGGCAACAGUAGGGAACCUUCCGCAAUGGGCGAAAGCCUGACGGAGCAACGCCGCGUGAGUGAUGAAGGUCUUCGGAUCGUAAAACUCUGUUAUUAGGGAAGAACAAAUGUGUAAGUAACUAUGCACGUCUUGACGGUACCUAAUCAGAAAGCCACGGCUAACUACGUG